rnacentral:tRNA from 1 species
GGAAUAUGUGGUUUGAUAAGCGUGAAUCCACUCCGAUCAAUUUGGACUUGUUCGCAUUCGCAAUGCGAAGGUCGGGAGUUCGAUCCUCCUCCUCUCCACCA